UGCCGAUGACUCGGGGAUAGCCUUUCGAAAGAAAGAUUAAUACCCGAUGGCAUAGUUCUUCCGCAUGGUGGAACUAUUAAAGAAUUUCGGUCAUCGAUGGGGAUGCGUUCCAUUAGGUUGUUGGCGGGGUAACGGCCCACCAAGCCUUCGAUGGAUAGGGGUUCUGAGAGGAAGGUCCCCCACAUUGGAACUGAGACACGGUCCAAACUCCUACGGGAGGCAGCAGUGAGGAAUAUUGGUCAAUGGACGAGAGUCUGAACCAGCCAAGUAGCGUGAAGGAUGACUGCCCUAUGGGUUGUAAACUUCUUUUAUACGGGAAUAAAGUGAGGCACGUGUGCCUUUUUGUAUGUACCGUAUGAAUAAGGAUCGGCUAACUCCGUGCCAGCAGCCGCGGUAAUACGGAGGAUCCGAGCGUUAUCCGGAUUUAUUGGGUUUAAAGGGAGCGUAGGCGGACGCUUAAGUCAGUUGUGAAAGUUUGCGGCUCAACCGUAAAAUUGCAGUUGAUACUGGGUGUCUUGAGUACAGUAGAGGCAGGCGGAAUUCGUGGUGUAGCGGUGAAAUGCUUAGAUAUCACGAAGAACUCCGAUUGCGAAGGCAGCUUGCUGGACUGUAACUGACGCUGAUGCUCGAAAGUGUGGGUAUCAAACAGGAUUAGAUACCCUGGUAGUCCACACAGUAAACGAUGAAUACUCGCUGUUUGCGAUAUACAGUAAGCGGCCAAG
rnacentral:rRNA from 1 species